GAUGAACGCUGGCGGUAUGCCUAACACAUGCAAGUCGUACGAGAGUUUUUAACUCUAGUGGCGGACGGGUGAGUAACACGUGAGAAUUUGCCUUUAGGAGGGGGACAACAAUUGGAAACGAAUGCUAAUACCCCAUAUGCUUUCGAGUGAAAUGGAUUUUAUCCGCCUAGAGAGAAGCUCGCGGCUGAUUAGCUUGUUGGUGGGGUAAAAGCCCACCAAGGCGACGAUCAGUAGCUGGUCUGAGAGGACGAUCAGCCACACUGGGACUGAGACACGGCCCAGACUCCUACGGGAGGCAGCAGUGGGGAAUUUUGGUCAAUGGGCGAGAGCCUGAACCAGCCAAGUCGCGUGAAGGAAGAAGGUUCUAUGGAUUGUAAACUUCUUUUGUAAGGGAAUAAAAAGAGUUACGUGUAACUUAUUGUAUGUACUUUACGAAUAAGGAUCGGCUAACUCCGUG
rnacentral:rRNA from 1 species